GGAGAGGUGGCUGAGUGGUCGAAAGCGGUGGAUUGCUAAUCCAUUGUACGCCCUCAAAGGUGUACCGCGGGUUCAAAUCCCGCCCUCUCCGCCA
rnacentral:tRNA from 1 species